rnacentral:rRNA from 1 species
UACGUAGGGUGCGAGCGUUAAUCGGAAUUACUGGACGUAAAGUGUGCGCAGGCGGCAGAGCAAGUCGAGUGUGAAAGCCCCGGGCUUAACUUGGGAAUUGCGCUCGAAACUACUUUGCUGGAGUGUGGCAGAGGAAGGUGGAAUUCCACGUGUAGCGGUGAAAUGCGUAGAGAUGUGGAGGAACACCAAUGGCGAAGGCAGCCUUCUGGGCCAACACUGACGCUCAUGCACGAAAGCGUGGGGAGCAAACAGG